rnacentral:lncRNA from 1 species
AUGAGUGCAGGACACGCUACCUUUCCGGUAUUCCACCACACCAACCCCUCCGUGGUAGCCGGAGUCGUGGAUGAAGACCCCGUCCCUGCUCACGCUGUCAGAGGAUUGUUCCUUCCCGUCCAAGAGAACCUCUCCUCUCCCUCCUGCUGCCAGCUCUCGUUAAAGCCAUGCCUGCGGGCUACGCCGGCAGAGGCCGUCAUUCACCACCAAGUCAAAGCGAUGAGGAAGGUUCCGCACAAACCCGCCUGCUAUGUGAGACAGCUGAACUGCACUCAACAGUAUCCACUGAAGUUUAGUCCGUCUAAAGGGGAUCAAAAAGCAAAUGUCCAGAUGCACUCCUGUCAUAAUGCAGCAACUUCCCAACUCAACACCAUCCAUUAAUCUAUUCAGUUAACUGAUGAGUUGAUAGUCUGAAUACAACAUAAAUCAGUUCAACCAGUUCAAAGGUUUUAAUGUGUUGUUUGAACCAAAUUACAGGACACAAGACUACACGUUCUCCUCCCCGUCUACACUGAGGUGAUAAUAAGGUCCAGCCUGCUGGUCUUCUUUAAGGAAGGUGAGUGAGCAGAUCCAGGGUCUGUACGUCCUUCGGACGGCGUUUGGACCAGGACGGGUUCAUGGGGAGAGGUGUGCUUGGGAAGAGCUCACAAAACAUGAGAACUUGAAGGGAUCCCCAACUAGGAACAAUAGACCUGAUUUAAUAAACAUUAACUUCAACUCUAAACAUGAAAUGUAUAUAAAAUAAAAAAAUAAUCUGACAUUUGGCUUUCCUAAACUUUUAUGAAACAAUUCCCCCCAGAGGCUGUUUCUAGUUAAUGACAACGAUGGGUUAUACUGGGACUAGUGAUGCUCUGUAUGGUCCAUGAUUGCAAUAAUGCACAAUAAUCGCACCCUCCUACGUUCAGUUCUGACACAAACAUUCCCUUUUUAAUAAGCAGCUUCCUUUACUGUUCUGUUGGAGUAACGCUGCAGUCUAGCCUAUAAUAGUCAUGCUAAGAAAUGGACCCAAGUCACAAUGGCAAAUAAAUGCAUGCGCUCAUUGUCUCAACAUAUGCUUUGAAAUUUCCCUUUCUCGCAACACUAAUGUGAGAUAACGAACCGUGGUCUGACCCCACCGACAGACGGAGACUUGAUUAGCUAUACUAGAGUAUCGGGGUGAGAUUUUUUUUAUCGCUUCAAGAAAAAAGGUGAAAUGUUCAGAAUAUGAAGUCAAAAUUUGUCUAGAAAUGAAGCCAAAUCAAGGACGUAGCUUCACCAACUCAUCCAACUGUCUGCACAGCAUUUUGAGAAGCUGUCGUACGUGCUGGUAACCUCAAAAAGUGACUUUAGUCUUGACAUUUUAGUUCUACUUUCUUCUCAAAAAUCUAUUUUGAGUUUAUUCUUGAAGAGCGUGAUAAAAAAGAUCUCUCUCCUAUUAAGAUCGCUCAUGUCCCAACGCCAACGCAGAGAGUCUAGUCUAACCCGCCUACUUUACUAGUUGUUACUGACUAGUCCGACCCUUCUACUUUAUGAGUUGUUACUGACUAGUCUAACCAUUCUACUUUAUUGGUUGUUACUGACUAGUCCCACCCUUCUACUUUACUAGUUGUUACUGACUAGUCUAACCCGUCUACUUUAUUGGUUGUUACUAACUAGUCCAACCAUUCUACUUUAUUGGUUGUUACUGACUAGUCCCACCCUUCUACUUUAUUGGUUGUUACUGACCAGUCCAACCCUUCUACUUCUUUGGUUGUUACUGACUAGUCCCACCAUUCUACUUUAUUGGUUGUUACUGACUAGUCUAACCCGUCUACUUUAUUGGUUGUUACUGACUAGUCCAACCCUUCUACUUCUUUGGUUGUUACUGACUAGUCCCACCAUUCUACUUUAUUGGUUGUUACUGACUAGUCUAACCCGUCUACUUUAUUGGUUGUUACUGACUAGUCCCACCAUUCUACUUUAUUGGUUGUUACUGACUAGUCCCACCCUUCUACUUUAUUGGUUGUUACUGACUAGUCCAACCCUUCUACUUUAUUGGUUGUUACUGACUAGUCCAACCAUUCUACUUUAUUGGUUGUUACUGACUAGUCCCACCCUUCUACUUUAUUGGUUGUUACUGACUAGUCCAACCAUUCUACUUUAUUGGUUGUUACUGACUAGUCCCACCCUUCUACUUUAUUGGUUGUUACUGACUAGUCUAACCAUUUAUUGGUUGUGGUGACCUCCACAGGUUAAAAAUGUAUUAAACAUCUUAUUCAAGACUUUUCACUCAUCAGCAACAACACUUUAUAGCAUAAUUGGACGAUAGCAUAACAGCAUAUUAAGAACAAAGGUUUCAGUAUUUGGGAUUUCCCUGAAUACCAACAAAAAAACAGACACGUACACAUUGUUUCUUAGACCUAGCUGAAGAGUCCACAUGCCAAAGUUAACGCCAUAAUAUCAUGCUACAUAAGACAAGCUGCUUCUGCAUCAGAGAUCUCCUGGAGACACUCUUCUCCUCAGAGCACCUGCCACCCUCACAGCACAUAGCUUUCUUCACCCUCCUUCUCCGAACAGUGCUUUUGACCUGCGUUAGCCACAGCAGCAUAUUGAACUGAUGUGUCAACAGACAGCUUUAUUAAUGCUUUACAAAGAUAUUUUCUGUAUUUGCAGUCCAGCAAAACUCCUGCAGGGACUGAAGUUUAUGAUGAAAUAAAUCUAAACACAAAAAAGACUCUGGAGAAAAGAUGCUUAUGGCGGUUUAUUCUCGUGCUUCUCACAUGGGCAGCUCCUACCAAAGGCUGAUUACAGUUGCCAGGCUAAUUAAACAUUAAACUGGUCCUGGAGAAUAGGAAAACAGUUCCAGAAAGGUGGCAUGUCAGAACCAAAUAGGACCUCUUUAGAUAUCUGCAGCAGCACUUUUAUAAGCCUGAUCCACACAGCCCAAAACCAAAUUACUGGAUUGAUGUGUUCAACAGUCCACAAAGAUCACUGUGGCCUUAGACUUGUUCUAGUGGACUUCUGUUGAUGCAGCUGCAACAGCAGGCAAAGGACACAGAAAUCUUAAAGAUAUUUGAACUUGGACUUUUAGAGCCUUUUGGCUGAGAGGUGAAGUGUCAUCAAGACUCUAAAAGAAGACGUUGCCUUUGACUUAAAGCUUUCUGGGUGACCGUGACCUGAAUAGGAAUUUACAAAGAAAAAAUAUCAACAACUAUAAAAAUAUGCCAGUGAGCGUGAAAACAGCGCAGCACUGUGUGAAGCUUUUUAUGAAACUGAUAACAUUCUGUGAUAGAGGGGAGGAGCGAGAGGUUUGUACCUGAGCGCUGGGCCGUGCUACGGCGGCACCAAGGUGGAAAAACACCAUCCAUUUGUCUGGGACGUGUGCGUCAUCGUGGACGCCACAAAUCCUCCGGUGGUGUGACCGUUUGAAUGUUGGACACUUCAGACAAUAUAUUUGAGAAAUAUACCAAUGAAAGCCUUGCAGCAUUAGGGGCCAGGUCCAACUGGUGCUGGCAGCUAAAGGGGGCCUAAAAGUGAGCUAAUGUCUGGGUCUUAGAAGAGCUCAGAGGAAUUUAUUCAAAGCAAAGUCAAGUGCUGAUACAGCAAAUUCAAAGAGAACUGAAAGGUAACGAGGCUGAGCUAACGUCUUUCAAAUCCUUGACCUUUAAAGUCCCCACAGAGCCAACGAUUUCUUUCUGGAAAGCACUUCAUAAGCAUUAUGAAGUAAAAUAUGUAAUGAACGUAAUUUCCAUAAUCUCUGGAUGAACAAGGCCCAGACGUGUUACUUACGGCAGCGGUGAGCCGUCUGUCUCCCUCCUGUGUUUAAAAAGCUGCACAACAUGAGAAAACUAGAAAACCUGCAGGCAAAUUUCUGCUGCAGCCAAAUCAGGAGCCGACAGCCGUCCUGGCGCUGACCUGCUAAUCAGUGUUGAUGUUGCUGUCGAGACAAGCCAACAUCACUUUACACAGCCAUUCUCAAGUAUGCGCAUUUCUGGAGUCGUUGCUAUGGCAACAGAGCAAACACAGACAGAAGUCCCAUGUCCAUUCAGCUGUCUACAGAGUGGUUUGGCCUCGAGCCUUUGGAGAGCUCGAAUUUCUUGGUUUUGUGAAUUUAAAUGACAAAACAAUGCAGUCUUGCACCCCUCCGCUCCUUUACCUUCGUUCUCAGGGUUAGGGUUAAAAGCUUUAACUGGAAUUUUAAAGGUUAAUGGCCGGAGCCGCCGCCCAGAGCCCCCCUCCCAG